rnacentral:tRNA from 1 species
GCCCAGGUGGUGAAAUUGGCAGACACGCCAGACUUAGGAUCUGGUGCCGUAAGGCAUAAGGGUUCGACUCCCUUCUUGGGCA